UCGAGGAUCUUCGGCAAUGGGCGCAAGCCUGACCGAGCGACGCCGCGUGCGCGAUGAAGGCCUUCGGGUUGUAAAGCGCUGUCGAGGGGGAGGAAAGCCCGCAAGGGUCUGACCUAUCCCUGGAGGAAGCACGGGCUAAGUUCGUGCCAGCAGCCGCGGUAAGACGAACCGUGCAAACGUUGUUCGGAUUCACUGGGCUUAAAGGGCGCGUAGGCGGGUUGUCACGUCCGGGGUGAAAUCCUCUCGCUUAACGAGAGAACGGCCCCGGAUACGGAUGACCUCGAGGGAGGUAGGGGCAUGUGGAACUUCCGGUGGAGCGGUGAAAUGCGUAGAUAUCGGAAGGAACGCCGGUGGCGAAAGCGACGUGCUGGACCUCUUCUGACGCUGAGGCGCGAAAGCCAGGGGAGCAAACGGGAUUAGAUACCCCCGUAGUCC
rnacentral:rRNA from 1 species